rnacentral:rRNA from 1 species
CCUACGGGCGGCAGCAGUGAGGAAUAUUGGUCAAUGGACGAGAGUCUGAACCAGCCAAGUAGCGUGAAGGAUGACUGCCCUAUGGGUUGUAAACUUCUUUUAUAUGGGAAUAAAAUGUUCCACGUGUGGGAUUUUGUAUGUACCAUAUGAAUAAGGAUCGGCUAACUCCGUGCCAGCAGCCGCGGUAAUACGGAGGAUCCGAGCGUUAUCCGGAUUUAUUGGGUUUGAAGGGAGCGUAGGUGGAUUGUUAAGUCAGUUGUGAAAGUUUGCGGCUCAACCGUAAAAUUGCAGUUGAAACUGGCAGUCUUGAGUACAGUAGAGGUGGGCGGAAUUCGUGGUGUAGCGGUGAAAUGCUUAGAUAUCACGAAGAACUCCGAUUGCGAAGGCAGUUCACUGGACUGCAACUGACACUGAGGCUCGAAAGUGUGGGUAUCAAACAGGAUUAGAUACCCCUGUAGUC